rnacentral:rRNA from 1 species
UACAGAGGGUGCAAGCGUUAAUCGGAAUUACUGGGCGUAAAGGGCGCGUAGGCGGUCAGAUAAGUGAGAAGUGAAAUCCCUGGGCUUAACCUAGGAAUUGCUUCUUAUACUGUUUGGCUGGAGUACUGUAGAGGGUAGUGGAAUUUCCGGUGUAGCGGUGAAAUGCGUAGAGAUCGGAAGGAACACCAGUGGCGAAGGCGGCUACCUGGACAGAUACUGACGCUGAGGCGCGAGAGCGUGGGGAGCAAACAGG